UCUCAUUUUCUUCUUCCGUCGGUGGGUGAUCUCCGAAUCUUUGGUGGAUUUCAGGCAUAUCUCUCAUGCAGUGGAUUUGGCAAUGUGGGAGGAUGAAAUGAAUUCGAGACAAAGAGUAAUAGGGUAAAGGGGCUGAGCUUGCACAGCAAGAGGCCAUGGAUCCUAGUGAGCCUCCACUGUGGUGUAAUCCAGCUCUGGGAUUACAAGAUGGGGACCCUCAUAGACAGAUUCGACGAGCACGAUGGCCUUGUACAUGGGGUCCACUUCCACAAAUCUCAGCCACUCUUCGUCUUCGGAGGAUUGGGGCAGAUGCUCGAAAUAUUAAAUUGUGAAACUUGUCCAGCAGGCAUUAAUUACAAUUUAGCGUGUUCAUUUUAAAAUCCUUUCCAUUACUAUCACAAUUUGGGCUAUACACCUAGAAGAGGAGCUUGAAGCAGACGAAAGAAAGCUUGUGGAAAAGCUUGAGUAUCAAAUUCGAAUAGAAAAUGAGGCUAAACAGAAACGCCUCGCAGACAAAUCUUUGGGUUCUUCAGUGGGCUUUCAUACAGGAUCUGUUGAGAGGAUUGCAGUCCCUGGUAAAUCUUCUACCAAUGCCACCAUGAGGACAGGCUUAUGUUUGGUGUUUGUGCAUUAAGAUGGAUGCUUU